AUUACUUCUCGGCCUUUUGGCUAAGAUCAAGUGUAGCAUCUUAGGUAAGGGCAUAAGCAAUAAAACAGCUUAAAUGGAACUUAACACGCAGUCCUGGUUUUUUCCCCUAACAUUUGAGGUGCUCUGUUGUAAUUUUGAGCAAUUGUUAAGUGACUG
rnacentral:snRNA from 1 species